GGGGCUGUCGCUUAAAGGGAAAGCAUCUUGAAUGGAAUUCAAGCGGAUGGAGGUUCGAACCCUCUCAGCUCCA
rnacentral:tRNA from 1 species